rnacentral:rRNA from 1 species
AUGGCCGGCGGUGAUAUUCUCCUCCGCACCCACGGCGGCCUCCCCGUCCUCGCCAGGGCUUCCCCUUGCAGCCGCCGCCUCCGUUUUACAGCCAGCGGCCGUCGCGCCCCUUCUUCCCUCGCCGCCGCCAAGGUCGACAUCGGCGACGUCGUCAGUCAGCUCAGGUCAGGAAGCGCCCGCGGCGCGGCCGACCCGAAGAGACAGCGGAGGGUCUCGGAGGGCGUACUUGCGUUUCCCAGGGUUGUCACGAGCAGGAUAAGGGGUGCCGACGAGGAGGAAGGACAAGGGGGGGCUCCGCAAUUGGAUGCGGAGAAGAUUGGUGGCGUGGAUGGCUCCUACCUCAGCGAGACACGGUUUGAUCAGUGUGCUAUUUCUGAAUUAUCACUGAAAGGCGUCAAAGAUGCUGGAUAUGGAAGGAUGACCCAGGUGCAGGAGGCAACUCUGCCAGUAAUCCUUCAAGGCAAAGAUGUUCUUGCAAAAGCGAAGACAGGAACAGGAAAAACCGUUGCCUUUUUGCUGCCAGCCAUUGAGGUUCUCUCUAAAUUACCCAGUUCUCAACGGAGUCAGUUGCGGUCGUCUAUAAAUUUGCUUGUGAUGUGCCCUACUAGAGAGCUUGCAAACCAAGUCGCUGUUGAGGCCAAAAAGCUUCUCAAGUAUCAUCGCUCGCUAGGUGUUCAGGUUGUAAUUGGUGGCACACGAAUAACUCAAGAGCAACGUAACAUGCAGGCUAACCCAUGUCAGAUUCUUGUUGCUACACCUGGAAGGCUUAAGGAUCAUCUUGAGAAUACACCUGGUUUUUCUACUCGGCUCAAAGGGGUGAAGGUUCUUGUUCUUGAUGAAGCUGACCGCCUACUCGAUAUGGGAUUCAGAAGAGAUAUUGAAAAAAUUAUGGCUGCCACUCCUAAAGACCGUCAGACACUGCUAUUUUCUGCUACUGUUCCAGAAGAGGUCCGUCAAAUUUCUCACGUAGCAAUGAGGAAGGACUAUAGGUUCAUUAACACAGUUAAAGAGGGUGACGAGGAGACACAUUCACAGGUUAGCCAGAUGUGUAUGAUCGCACCACUUGAUCUGCACUUCUCUAUAUUAUAUGAUGUACUGAAGAAGCAUGUCGCAGAUGAUGCGGACUACAAAGUGAUUAUAUUCUGUACUACUGCAAUGGUCACGAAACUUGUUGCUGAAGUUCUCUCCCAGCUGAAACUGAAUAUAAGAGAGAUUCAUUCCAGAAAGUCACAAUCUGCAAGAACUAAGGUCUCGGAUGAAUUCAGAAGGUCAAAGGGCGUGAUAUUAGUUAGUUCUGAUGUGUCUGCUCGUGGUGUUGAUUAUCCUGAUGUCACCCUCGUCAUACAGGUUGGGAUUCCUGCUGGUAGAGAGCAGUAUAUACAUAGAAUUGGUAGAACAGGACGGAAAGGCAAGGAAGGGCUGGGCCUCUUACUGUUGGCUCCCUGGGAAAGUCAUUUUCUUACCAGCGUGAAAGAUCUGUCAGUAUCAGAGGCUGUGACACCUUCAGUUGAUUCAAGCACUCAGACAGAAGUGAAAGGUGCACUCAGAAGAGUAGAGAUGAAGAGCAAGGAAUCAGCAUAUCAAGCAUGGUUAGGGUACUACAACUCGAACAAGACCAUUGGUGGUAACAAGUCGAGACUUGUUACUCUCGGCGAAGAGUUCAGCCGGAGCAUGGGGCUUGCAGCCCCACCAGCCAUACCCAAGCUCAUUCUUCGUAAGAUGGGUCUUGGCAAAGUUCCUGGCUUUCGAUCUACAUAG